AAAUUGUUGGAAAUGGUGGAACGUAAAACGCGCACUCUUUCCUUUCUCAGCCUUGAGUUGGCCAAGUUGGAGGACCUAUUUUGAGGUUCUGCUAUGCACCACAAUGAUAUACUGAGAAUCUUGCGUAAAUAUGUAUAAAAGAUGCAGGUAUAGGUGAAAGGGCAGUUUAGUUAAGUUAUUACAUAAUUUGUAGCAUGGCUGCUUGAGUGCUGGAUCAUCAUUUGAUGCUGGAGGAUCCUGACCAAAAAUCAUCUCGCAGCUCAUAUCAUCAAAAUCUGCAGUUUAAAAUGCAUCACAGUUUUUAUUAACUAUUCUGACGGAUGUGCUUUGUUCUGCUUCGUCACGGUAACUACUUAACCAAUAUGGAGUGUGAAUAGUAGUGGUCUUGUGCUUCUCAAAAGUGAUUGGCACGUGGAAGUGUGACUAAUAUUCAACUUUGAUGGUUUUAAUGAUACAAUUUAUAAUCACAUUGUGAUUUUAUAUGGGUUGGUUGUGGAAUAAUGAUUGGCUUCAUGGGAACUAGAAGAGUUCAGUCUCUUUCAUUAUGAGUUGAUACAUGGAAUUAAUCAUAAGAUCGUUAUACCCAAUUUACGGCCUAGAAUGCAGGUGUUAACAUCACAAUUUCAUUUAUUCAUUUCAUGUUUAUGUUAUUUUACAUGCUAGUAUUCUCAGUUGAGGUUGGAUGGGUCCACUUGCAGUUUUGCACCCUCAGUGGUUAUGCAUGCGGGCCCUUCAUUGACAUAAUGAGCAUGAGCUCCACAUUCUAGUGCAGGCAUUCCCAGAGAAUCCUUAAUAAAGGCUUGAGAUGGCAUCUUGCAUAGAUUGAUGCACAUCCCUAUGCAAUUGCUCUGCUCUAGAAACCUACAAAAAUGUUUAAGCAAUGUUAGAGAAUUACCUGGAUGAUCUAAGGGUGAUGAAAUCUUUAAUGAUGAUUUUGAUAUUGACGAUGAUUAUGAUGAUGAUGACCAUCAUGAUAUCAAUGGAGAAGAAGAGAGUCCAACACACAAUCAUUGGAGCAGGUUAUUCACGGCAUGAAAGUGUCUUAAGUUGGUGAGGUGGGUUAAACUGUAGAGCUAAUUAAAUUCGAGGGAGAUGUUAAAGUUACCUGCAUUUCUUUACAUGGACUACGUUCUUUUCUCUUCUUCCAUUGAGCUCCGAUACCCUGACCUUGUGGUAUUAAAUAAAGAAUGUUAGAUUUUUUAUUCACAAAGUUGAUCAGAAAAAUCAUAUGCCUGCUUUCAUGUUUAUGAAUUUCAUGACACAAGUUGUAUGGCUUGCUGUUGCGUUCUUAAGGUUGUGUUACCCCCCAUACUAUCAUUGGCUUUCUGUACAUUUAUUGAUGGAUUUGAAUGAAACUUCGUUAUGAGUAA